UCCAGACUCCUACGGGAGGCAGCAGUGAGGAAUAUUGGUCAAUGGCCGGAAGGCUGAACCAGCCAAGUCGCGUGGGGGAAUAAGGCCCUAUGGGUCGUAAACCUAUUUUGUCAGGGAGCAAAGGCGUCCACGAGUGGACGAAAGGAGAGUACCUGAAGAAAAAGCAUCGGCUAACUCCGUGCCAGCAGCCGCGGUAAUACGGAGGAUGCGAGCGUUAUCCGGAUUUAUUGGGUUUAAAGGGUGCGUAGGCGGGGUGUCAAGUCAGCGGUAAAAUUUCGGGGCUCAACCUCGCUCCGCCGUUGAAACUGGCGUUCUUGAGUGGGCGAGAAGUAUGCGGAAUGCGUGGUGUAGCGGUGAAAUGCAUAGAUAUCGCGCAGAACUCCGAUUGCGAAGGCAGCAUGCCGGCUCCACACUGACGCUGAGGCACGAAAGCGUGGGUAUCGAACAGGAUUAGAUACCCCCGUACUC
rnacentral:rRNA from 1 species